UACAUAGGGAGCAAGCGUUGUCCGGAAUCAUUGGGCGUAAAGCGCGCGUAGGUGGCUUCGUAAGUCCGUUGUGAAAGUCAAAGGCUCAACCUUUGAAAGCCGAUGGAUACUGUGAAGCUAGAGUACGGAAGAGGCGAGUGGAAUUCCUGGUGUAGCGGUGGAAUGCGCAGAUAUCAGGAGGAACACCAAUAGCGAAGGCAGCUCGCUGGGACGUUACUGACACUGAGGCGCGAAAGCGUGGGGAGCGAACAGG
rnacentral:rRNA from 1 species